AGCGUAGGCGGGCGUUUAAGUUAGGUGUUUAAUCCCGGGGCCCAACCCCGGACAGGCACCUAAAACUGGAUGUCUUGAAUAGGGGAGAGGUCGGUGGAAUUGGGGGUGUAGCGGUGGAAUGCGUAGAGAUCCCCAAGAACACCCGUUGCGAAGGCGGCCGACUGGACCCAUAUUGACGCUGAGGCUCGAAAGCAUGGGGAGCAAACA
rnacentral:rRNA from 1 species